AGGGCUGGUGAUCCUUGGCUUUGAAGCCUAGGGAGGGAGGAGAGGUUGAGACGGCAGAUGGCAGACCCUGGGAAGAAGGAUAGGGGUGGGGCAGGGGUCCCAAGAGCAGGAUCCUCCAAGGCCACCCCAGGGUGGAUGAUGAGGGAGAAGAUGCCCCAUCCCUUUCCAGGUCCCCACUCCAAAUUCCUCAGCUCUCUUCUCACCUUUGGAUUGAACUUUGGAAGACAUGCUGCCUCCUGCUACCCAGUUUGUAACCAGCUGUCUCCAUGGCAACUGGGAGCUAGCUACCGCCUCUUAAAGGGCCAUCAACCCAUUUCACUAAACACCCAGACCUUGGAAGAAUUGGUAGGAACUGUGGCUUCUGCGGCUCAGCCCAAGCCUGAGGGAGAAAGACUGACAGAGAACGAUAUCAAUAUAGAAGAAAGCAGAGCUGAAUGACGAAGAUGCCUCUGGAUCCCUGGAUCCAGUCAUGCCUGAAUCACCAUGACGUAAUCCUACACUUCUCAAUUUCAUGACCUGAUAAAUUUCCCCUUUGGUUUAAGCCCC